UGAGGAAUAUUAGUCAAUGGGCGCAAGCCUGAACCAGCCAUCCCGCGUGCAGGAAGACGGCCCUAUGGGUUGUAAACUGCUUUUCCAGGGAGAGAAACUUGCGUACGCGUUGCGCAAUUGACGGUACCCUGGGAAUAAGCAUCGGCUAACUCCGUGCCAGCAGCCGCGGUAAUACGGAGGAUGCAAGCGUUAUCCGGAUUCAUUGGGUCUAAAGGGUGCGUAGGCGGUUUCAAAAGUCAGAUGUGAAAUUUUUCCGCUCACCGGGAAAACUGCAUCUGAAACUUUGAGACUCGAGUUUGUGGGAAGGGAGUGGAAUUCUCGGUGUAGCGGUGAAAUGUGUAGAUAUCGAGAAGAACACCAGUGGCGAAAGCGGCUCUCUACCAUAAAACUGACGCUGAGGCGCGAAAGCUAGGGGAGCAAACG
rnacentral:rRNA from 1 species